rnacentral:misc_RNA from 1 species
GAUGAAGAACGUAGCGAAAUGCGAUAAGUAAUGUGAAUUGCAGAAUUCAGUGAAUCAUCGAAUCUUUGAACGCACAUUGCGCCCCCUGGUAUUCCGGGGGGCAUGCCUGUUCGAGCGUCAUUACAACCCUCAAGCUCUGCUUGGUAUUGGGCCCCGCCAGUUCUGGCGGGCCCUAAAGUCAGUGGCGGUGCCUUCCGGCUCCGAGCGUAGUAAUUCUUCUCGCUAUGGAGUCCUGGUGGAUGCUUGCCAUCAACCCCCAAUUUUUCUAUGGUUGACCUCGGAUCAGGUAGGGAUACCCGCUGAACUUAAGCAUAUCAAUAAGCGGAGGA